CAAAGUUGGAACAAAACUUGAGUCAAAUACCUACUUAUAUCUAUCUCGCUCUCUGUGGCCCUACCUCUCUUUUUAGUGUGAACUGUAGUAUUGCUAUCUUCUUAUUUAAAUCUCCUUGUAAAUUCUUCGAAAUAGCCAAUUCACUAACCAAAUAAGAAGUUAAACAAAUAAAUAAUUAAUAUUUGAAACUUAGAUUACCUAGUUAAAUAAAAAAUCACAAAAUUGUCGGCCAUUUAGGCUUAAUGUGUUGGCUAAUCAGGGAAUUACAAUCCCAAUUUCUGAGGUAUCGGUAAUGUGGCAACAUCGGCCGAAUCCGGCCCAUCAUGGCGGUUGUUUACUAUGCAGUUGAUUUCGUUUGAGAUUUUUCAAGGGACCUUAUCAUUGUUUUGUCUGAAGAAAUGGUGCAAAAUUGUAUAGUGCGUGGUUGCGGUAGUUCGUGGUGUCCUGGAAGUGAUAUAAAAUUCCACGCAUUUCCUAACAAUAGCACUCGGAGAAAAUUGUGGUUAUCCGUUGUACCAUUGAAAGCGAAGUUUUAUAAUAGUGCAAGGAUUUGCAGUUUGCAUUUUCAAGAAUCAGAUUAUGAUUCAACAACCAGGCGACUAAAACAAACAGCAAUUCCUACUAUAAUAACAAAUCAAGAAACACUAGCACCAGGCAAGACAAUAAGUUCAUUACAUGAUGAGUCUAUGGUGCAAAUAGCUGAUGUGACCGUACCAAGCACUAGUUCCGGCAUUUGUAAAAGCAAUUCUCCACUUAUGGAAACCGGAUAUGACGAGUCUAUGAUGCAAAUAGCUGCUGUGGCUGUAUUACCAAGCACCAGUUCUGGCAUUUGUGAAAGCAAUUCUCCACUUGUGGAAACCGGAUAUGACGAGUCUAUGAUGCAAAUAGCUGCUGUGGCUGUAUUACCAAGCACCAGUUCUGGCAUUUGUGAAAGCAAUUCUCCACUUGUGGAAACCGGAUAUGACGAGUCUAUGAUGCAAAUAGCUGCUGUGGCUGUAUUACCAAGCACCAGUUCUGGCAUUUGUGAAAGCAAUUCUCCACUUGUGGAAACCGGAUAUGACGAGUCUAUGAUGCAAAUAGCUGCUGUGGCUGUAUUACCAAGCACCAGUUCUGGCAUUUGUGAAAGCAAUUCUCCACUUGUGGAAACCGGACAUGACGAGUCUAUGAUGCAAAUAUCUGCUGUGGCUGUAUUACCAAGCACCAGUUCUGGCAUUUGUGAAAGCAAUUCUCCACUUGUGGAAACCGGACAUGACGAGUCUAUGAUGCAAAUAUCUGCUGUGGCUGUACUACCAAGCACCAGUUCUGGAAUUUGUGAAAGGAAUUCUCCACUUAUGGAAACCGGAGUGAAACGUGCUGGCUGCAAUAUUGAGAACCAAACUAGAAAGAAACAAAGUCGAAAAAUUCUUCAAAAUAUAAGCAACCUUAACAAGUCACCUGUCAGCGGUGAAGACCACGUCCCUGUGAAGAGUGACAAGGGCAUCCAAGUAAAAAUAAAGACUGCUCAAGAAAAAAUGCUUCAAAAGAAAACAAAGAUACUAAAGCAAAAAGUGGCGCGACAAACUAAAAAAAUUGUGAAUAUGUCUUCUUUAAUGUCAGCUUUAAAAGAGUAUUUUCGUCAUUCAGAAAUUGAAAAUAUUAUCCAAGGGCGUUUUGCUGAUAUCUUCAAAGAAUUCAAUAAACCACAGAGUAAACAUGGCAUUCGAUAUAGCGAAGAAGUGAAGGCCUUUGCUUUAACUUUGAAUUUCUAUUCACCAAAGGCUUACGAAUUUUUAAGAAAAUAUAUGACUUUACCUCAUGUAGAAACUAUUCGAAGAUCUUUGUCUUUAUUCAAUUGUAAUGUUGGUUUCUUGUCUGAAGUACUUGAAUAUUUAAAAGAACAAGUAAAGUUAUCUGAAAAAAUGUAUUUAAAAAAUGUUGCUUUAAUAUUUGAUGCAAUGGCAUUAAAACAAAAUUUGACA